GGGGGAUCCUCCGCGCCUCGGACUGUGGGUGUGCAGCCGCCGGUAAGCCGGCGGAGGGCUUGGGCGGGCAGCCGUGCCCUGGUGUCGGUGGUUGUGACCUGUAAGGUGGGAAGUCCGUCUCUUAGGCUCAGUUAAGCUUGCGCUUGGCGCAGUGCCUCUGGGUUUUUCUGACUUCAGGGUACCGAAGCGGUGUGGAGUUCCGACAAAACGACGCCCUUGGGCCUGGAGAGCGGGUGUGCCUCGCCUGUGCCUGCACGUGUAAGACUGGUCGGUCCUUGGGCGUUUUUGUGAGCACAGGCUAACAGUUAAAUCAUCAGAAUUCCUGCAUAUGGCAAAGUACAGAUGGUUCCAGUUUAUAUAAGCUCCCGAGCCACUGUGGAGGCUGACUUUCAGAACAAAACGUGAUCUUUGUGGUAACAGUUUGGAAGCAGCCAGGUAACCUUUCUGCAGCAGU